GACGAACGCUGGCGGCGUGCUUAACACAUGCAAGUCGAACGGAAAGGCCCUGCUUGCAGGGUACUCGAGUGGCGAACGGGUGAGUAACACGUGGGUGAUCUGCCCUGCACUUCGGGAUAAGCUUGGGAAACUGGGUCUAAUACCGGAUAGGAGCCAUCUUUAGUGUGGUGGUUGGAAAGUUUUUUCGGUGUAGGAUGAGCUCGCGGCCUAUCAGCUUGUUGGUGGGGUAAUGGCCUACCAAGGCGGCGACGGGUAGCCGGCCUGAGAGGGUGUACGGCCACAUUGGGACUGAGAUACGGCCCAGACUCCUACGGGAGGCAGCAGUGGGGAAGAUUGCACAAUGGGCGCAAGCCUGAUGCAGCGACGCCGCGUGGGGGAUGAAGGCCUUCGGGUUGGAAACUCCUUUCGCUAGGGACGAAGCUUUUUGUGACGGUACCUAGAUAAGAAGCACCGGCUAACUACGUG
rnacentral:rRNA from 1 species